rnacentral:rRNA from 1 species
GAUGAACGCUGGCGGCGUGCCUAAUACAUGCAAGUCGAGCGAACAGACGAGGAGCUUGCUCCUCUGACGUUAGCGGCGGACGGGUGAGUAACACGUGGAUAACCUACCUAUAAGACUGGGAUAACUUCGGGAAACCGGAGCUAAUACCGGAUAAUAUAUUGAACCGCAUGGUUCAAUAGUGAAAGACGGUUUUGCUGUCACUUAUAGAUGGAUCCGCGCCGCAUUAGCUAGUUGGUAAGGUAACGGCUUACCAAGGCGACGAUGCGUAGCCGACCUGAGAGGGUGAUCGGCCACACUGGAACUGAGACACGGUCCAGACUCCUAAGGGAGGCAGCAGUAGGGAAUCUUCCGCAAUGGGCGAAAGCCUGACGGAGCAACGCCGCGUGAGUGAUGAAGGUCUUCGGAUCGUAAAACUCUGUUUUUAGGGAAGAACAAAUGUGUAAGUAACUAUGCACGUCUUGACGGUACCUAAUCAGAAAGCCACGGCUAACUACGUG